CGAGCGAACGGACGAGAAGCUUGCUUCUCUGAUGUUAGCGGCGGACGGGUGAGUAACACGUGGAUAACCUACCUAUAAGACUGGGAUAACUUCGGGAAACCGGAGCUAAUACCGGAUAAUAUUUUGAACCGCAUGGUUCAAAAGUGAAAGACGGUCUUGCUGUCACUUAUAGAUGGAUCCGCGCUGCAUUAGCUAGUUGGUAAGGUAACGGCUUACCAAGGCAACGAUGCAUAGCCGACCUGAGAGGGUGAUCGGCCACACUGGAACUGAGACACGGUCCAGACUCCUACGGGAGGCAGCAGUAGGGAAUCUUCCGCAAUGGGCGAAAGCCUGACGGAGCAACGCCGCGUGAGUGAUGAAGGUCUUCGGAUCGUAAAACUCUGUUAUUAGGGAAGAACAUAUGUGUAAGUAACUGUGCACAUCUUGACGGUACCUAAUCAGAAAGCCACGGCUAACUACGUGCCAGCAGCCGCGGUAAUACGUAGGUGGCAAGCGUUAUCCGGAAUUAUUGGGCGUAAAGCGCGCGUAGGCGGUUUUUUAAGUCUGAUGUGAAAGCCCACGGCUCAACCGUGGAGGGUCAUUGGAAACUGGAAAACUUGAGUGCAGAAGAGGAAAGUGGAAUUCCAUGUGUAGCGGUGAAAUGCGCAGAGAUAUGGAGGAACACCAGUGGCGAAGGCGACUUUCUGGUCUGU
rnacentral:rRNA from 1 species